AUACUUACCUAGCAGGGGAGAUACCAUGAUUACGAAGGUGGUUUUCCCAGGACAAGUCUUACCCAUUGCACUCCAGAUGUGCUGACCUCUGCAAUUUCUCCAAAUGUGGGAAACUGGAUUGCACAAUUUGUAGUAGCGUGGGGCUACGUUUGCGGUCUUCCCCG